AAAAUAUAUAAACAUUAAAAAACAUUUUUUUAAACUGUAGGUACUUCUGAAAGGGAGAACAUCAUAUAUGAAUUAAUUACUAGCCUUUAACAAUUUGGGAUAUACUAAAGUGAUACAUAAACAUCAUUUUAUAUAUAACAGAUCCAAACUAAAAUACAGCUCGCAUGGUUGGAGCAUUCGGAACAUGCCGGUCAUAGUGCAAGGUACUUUACACAUGGUACUAAUUGCCAAAUAUUUCCGGCUCUCUGCCUUCCUGGCACUCGUGGGAAUAGCACUUCCCAGGUCUUUUGUGGUGGGUAGCACCAUGUGACUGGUUCCAAACAGACAUAAAUGGGCCUGUUACCCAUUUACAGGGCUAAUGAGAGACCCCUCAGAACUCUCUUUUCCUUUCGGCUCAGCUGCCUUCAAUAUGGGACCUGCCUUAGCCUGAAUCCCCGAGUGAUGUGAUGAACACAGGACCUGCCCACCCCCACCCCCAUCCCCAGUGUCUGUACAGCGAUCUUCUGGGGUAAUCUGUGCUAUCAUUUCUUUACAGGUAAAGAAGGGGCUGUGUGUUAUUAAAGGAUUUUCACAAGAUUUCAUGGCUGGCAAGUGAUGGAGCCACGAAGGGAACCAGAUUCAUUGGUGAGGAAGCCAGCACACGUACAGAGAUGUCUCACAGUGCCCCGGCCCUGUGCUGAGGGCACCCUGAUGACUCCAACACUCAAGCCCCUGUUUUCAAGGAUCUGCCAAUGCCCAGUCAAUCCCCCUCCCCUUCCAUUGUUCCUACAGGGAAUGGUCACUACUGCUGAAGGUAAUUGCUCAACUGUUUGCGCUGAGAGUUAGGGAGGGUCAAAUCUCCACUGCUCCAUGUACUCUUUGUAUCCUUUAUACAAACUACAUGGAAGUGAUAGAAAAUUCUGAAGGUCUGGAUCACCUAAGAACAAAACUGGAAUGCUUGGGAGGCAGGAGCCUCCUGUACAAAGUUUUUCACCCACUGCUAGCAUGGUACCUAAAUUUUCUACCAUUAGAAAUUUAUUCCUUUGGGUUUAAAGCAGAUUUCUCCUCUUGCCUAGAACUUGCCCAGACUAUUGUAUAAAAUCUUCUUUUGUCAUACGUCCAAAUGACUACCCUAACAACUUCUAACAACUAUCUCAACAUUGAGAUCUUGUAGAAAUAGCCCAAGGAAGCCGGCAACAUAAGGAAUGGCUGUACUUCCAGUGCUAAAUACUUCAAUUUUGAGGGUGAAAAUGUUCCUUAAGGCCUUCUCCUUUUAAUUUUCUUUUUCCCAAAAGAACUCAAGUAGAGGGUUUGUUGGUAUUGUUUGUUUGCCACUGGUGUUGAUGAGGGGCAGAAUGCCAUCUUCUCAUGAGGACUAAAUUGAUGAGAAUUCUCAUUGUGCUGUACAGAACCCAAAUUACCCACACCACUAUCCAUCACAAACUCUGUGGAUUCCCGAAGUUUGGACUGAAAUUGUGCUCUGA